GACGAAGGGGGCUAGCGUUGUUCGGAAUUACUGGGCGUAAAGGGCUCGUAGGCGGCCAACUAAGUCAGACGUGAAAUCCCUCAGCUUAACUGGGGAACUGCGUCUGAUACUGGAUGGCUUGGAUUCGGGAGAGGAAUGCGGAAUUCCAGGUGUAGCGGUGAAAUGCGUAGAUAUCUGGAGGAACACCGGUGGCGAAGGCGGCAUUCUGGACCGAUAUUGACGCUGAGGAGCGAAAGCCAGGGGAGCAAACGGG
rnacentral:rRNA from 1 species